rnacentral:rRNA from 1 species
UACGAAGGGGGCUAGCGUUGCUCGGAAUCAUUGGGCGUAAAGGGUGCGUAGGCGGGUCUUUAAGUCAGGGGGGAAAUCCUGGAGCUCAACUCCAGAACUGCCUUUGAUACUGAGGAUCUUGAGUUCGGGAGAGGUGAGUGGAACUGCGAGUGUAGAGGUGAAAUUCGUAGAUAUUCGCAAGAACACCAGUGGCGAAGGCGGCUCACUGGCCCGAUACUGACGCUGAGGCACGAAAGCGUGGGGAGCAAACAGG